rfam:Schistosoma rodhaini strain Burundi genome assembly, scaffold: SROB_scaffold0002382
UUCCAGCUGACGAGUCCCAAAUAGGACGAAACGCGCGUCCUGGAU